rnacentral:rRNA from 1 species
UACGUAGGGUGCGAGCGUUGCCCGGAUUUAUUGGGCGUAAAGGGCUCGUAGGCGGUUUGUCGCGUCGGGAGUGAAAUCAUCUGGCUUAACUGGGUGCUUGCUUUCGAUACGGGCAGACUAGAGGUAUGCAGGGGGAGAACGGAAUUCCUGGUGUAGCGGUGAAAUGCGCAGAUAUCAGGAAGAACACCUAUGGCGAAGGCAGCUCUCUGGGACGGUACUGACGCUGAGACGCGAAAGCGUGGGGAGCGAACAGG